GCUGCGUGCCUUUGCCGUGUAUGGUAAUGCGCGUGCGCGUAAACAUUCGAGCCGCAUUCAAAGACAGGAGCGCGCGCGUCGCGUGAUCAGAUGGAAACGAGCUCUAUGGAAACGAGGAACGUCAUCGACAACGGACAAACAGCAAAACCGUCUCUCGCUUGAAAAUUUGCACUGCUUUCAGAAAUGGGUUUGUGUCUUCGUAAAAAGUCCGUUAGCAUCUCAACCGUUUUCAGAAGAGUCUAGAAGAUCAUCAUGCUGAAGUCCGGCUGCACCCCCUGUCCAAGACAAUCUCCACGGCUAUGAACUCGAUGAGAUAUAGUCGUUUGGCCCUGUGAUUCUUCAGGACAAGAUCUUGAUGACAUCCACACUCAGUACAUGAUGAAGCUCCUGCGUCCAUUUGGGCUGAAGGUCGAGACAGAACCAACCCAAAGCUGGACUGUAACCUACUGUCAUAUGACAGACUUCAUACUGACAACUACUGGCGUGGAUGCGGCAUCACAUGUUUUUCAACAAAACCUUUUUCACCUAGAAUUUAAAGUGUGGAUUAGUCAUCCCCCAUCCCUCCAUGUCUUCAUCUCUUGUGAGUGGAUAUCAUUUAAAACAUUCUUAAAAGAACUCCUCAAUUUCUUCUGAAUUUAUAGUAUUUAUUGUUCUUGUCAAGUAAUAUUGCUGUAAUCCUGUUAAUGAAUGUACAGUAUAAAUUGCAAUCACGCUUGUGUUGGACAGGUGUGGUUCACAGGUUAUAGACAUUUUAGAGGAGGUAGAUGCUGUGUAUUUAAAGGUGUUCUAAGUCAUGUUUAUUUGUACUAUCUUAUUUUUGUAUAUAAAUCAUUAUUACAGUGGAACAAAUUGCUAUUUUUUUAUUUGUAAAUUAGAAACUGAUUUUUUUUUUACCAUUGUACAGCACCACUUUAUCACCAAUAAUGUUUUAUAACUUUGUAGUCAAAUUAUUGUUUUAUGUCACAUGUGAGAACAAAUGCAAGUUUAUAUUUUCUUUCAGAUUAUGUAAUUUUUGUAAUAAAGUCUGUAUCAUAGAAUGAUAACUUCUUUCUGUUGUUAUUUUGUAGGUGUUUGUUGUAAUUGAAUGGCUUAAAUGUAAUUCAAGAU